rnacentral:lncRNA from 1 species
GGUAAUUUGUGCGUGUGGACUAGGAAACAGCUACUCUGUUCUCCCUUUGGGGAAACGUCAUCAGGGUCUCUGAAUUGUUGGGUCACAGAGGAAUGGGUUUAGAGACCAUUUGGAUGAUGUUUGAUUAUCUUGUUCAGGGAAGUUUCCUGGAAGGGAAGGGUCGCUCCCACGUGACAGCACAGCUCAACAGUCAGAAUGCCUCACCGCGCCGCCGGGAUCUCCAUCCCACAUUGCCGAUCAGCUUUCAGAGUCAGGGCUGGGGGCCUGGAGCCAUCGGCUGGCGGAGGUCCAGCCCCCGAGGAGUCCGAGGUGACAGAAGAGCUGGAUGGGAAGCCGCGUCCGUGGGGCACAGGGAUGUGGGCUGAGGACACAACCUGCCUCGCCCCCAGCUCUUCAUUCCCUGAGGGACGGAGCCAUUUCUUCUGGACCCAGCUUAGCUCAACCCAUAAAAGGACCAGAGAAUGGCACAUUGUUUCUUCCCCUUUAAGCAGACUUUUCUUACAAACCAAGCCAUGCCCACAGAAGGUCUCGGGAAGAAGGCUGUUUGAGUUCAGGCCCCCUGGCCCCCGCAGGCGGCGGGGAGAGGGCACUUCUGAGAUGUCCCCUCAGACCAUGGCACACAGGCCUCUCCAGAGGGUCUUGCGGAGGCGUCCCGGGGCAGGGCAGGAGGUGGGCCGGUAGGCUGGCACCCUGGUGCCCCCCACCCGCCGGCUCCCCACGCCCCUUCUCCUCCAGGAAGCCAGCCGGGGCAAGUGGGGAGUUUGCAAAACAAAACCACCCUUGUUUCCAGGCGAGCUGCGGUCAGGAAAAACAACAGGUUUUUCCACUUUAAGCCUUUAUAGAUUUAGACAUACCGCAUGCUUUCUCCUCCACAGGCGGAAAGUUGGGGCCUUUUCUUCAUUAAGUGAGGAAAUACCCUUGGAAUGACAGGGUCCCCAAACUGUCCCAGGGCCACAGCAGCUAGGGACCCUCCUCCCUCCAAACAGCCCCCCUUUGCGGGCCCCCAGGAUGACCCCAGGAUCCCCAUAACCCCAGAAUGACCCCAAGAUCUCCAUGACCCUUGGGAUGACCCCAGGACCCUGUUCCCAUGACCCCCAAGAUGACCCUGGGGUUCUUGUUCCCUGUAACCUGCAGGAUGACCCCAGGAUCUCCGUGACCCCCAAGAGGACCCAAGGAUCCCUGUGACCACCAGCAUGACCCCAGGAUCUCUGAGACCCCCAAGAGGGCCCGAGGAUCCCUGUGACUGCUAGGAUGACCCCAGGAGCCCCGUGACCCCCAGGAUGUGGGCUGCACCCUCAGCACCAUGCUCCCGUCCCCUCUGAGGCGUCCUUCAUCCCAUUUCCCAUCACCCACUCCUCCCUGCUCUCUGGCUCUCCCCUUCACUCACCCUCAGCUCGCACCCACUCCCCAGGGUCUCCAAGCACACUUCUCUGGCAGGAAGGGCCUCCCCAAACUCAUCCGCAUGCAAACACUGUCCCCUCAGGCCAUAGAGACCUGUGUCCACAGCCUGAACCCCAUGGGCUUCGGGGCCCACUGAGCGAGGCAGGAAAGAUGACGCUGGCUGUGGCUGUCACUGUCGUGAGGACAUUGUGCUGGCUGUCUCCUCCUCCAUCACACACAGCCUGUGCUCUGGGCCUGCCGCCUGCUCAGGGUUGGCGCUCAAAAAUUCGUGGGUACCCAC